rnacentral:rRNA from 1 species
CACGUAGGGUGCGAGCGUUGUCCGGAAUUAUUGGGCGUAAAGAGCUCGUAGGCGGUGUGUCGCGUCGGCCGUGAAAACCUGCAGCUUAACUGUGGGCUUGCGGUCGAUACGGGCAUCACUGGAGUUCGGCAGGGGAGACUGGAAUUCCUGGUGUAGCGGUGAAAUGCGCAGAUAUCAGGAGGAACACCGGUGGCGAAGGCGGGUCUCUGGGCCGAUACUGACGCUCAGGCGCGAAAGCUAGGGGAGCGAACAGG